rnacentral:rRNA from 1 species
AUCGAACGCUGGCGGCAGGCUUAACACAUGCAAGUCGAGCGGAAGAAGGGUGCUUGCUCCUGGAGUCAGCGGCGGAAGGGUGAGAAAUGCAUAGGAAUCUGCUUGGUAGUGGGGGAUAACGUCCGGAAAAGGGCGCUAAUACCGCAUACGUCCUGAGGGUGAAAGAGGGGGAGCUUCGGACAUCAUGCUAGCAGAUGAGCCUAGGUCGGACUAGUUAGUUGGUGGGGUGAAGGGCUACCAAGGCGAGGAUCGGUAACUGGUCUGAGUGGAUGGUUAGUCACCCGGGAACUGGAACACGGUCCUUAGUCCUACGAGAGGCAGCAGUGGGGUAUAGUGGACAAUAGGCGAAAGCCUGGUCCAGCCAUGCCGCGUGUGUUGAGAAGGUCUUCGGAUUGUAAAGCACGUUAUGGUGUGAGAAAGGGCAGUAAGUUGAUACCUUGCUUGUUUGACGUUAACGGCAGAAUAAGCACCGGCUAACUACGUG